GAUGAACGCUAGCGAUAGGCUUAACACAUGCGAGUCGAGGGGCAGCAUGGCCUUAGCUUGCUAAGACUGAUGGCGACCGGCGCACGGGUGCGUAACGCGUAUGCAACUUGCCUCACAGAGGGGGAUAACCCGUCGAAAGACGGACUAAUACCGCGUACACUCCAUCUUGGGCAUCCAAGGUAGAGGAAAUGAAAUUCGCUGUGAGAUAGGCAUGCGUCCCAUUAGCUAGUUGGUGAGGUAACGGCUCACCAAGGCGACGAUGGGUAGGGGAACUGAGAGGUUGAACCCCCACACUGGUACUGAGACACGGACCAGACUCCUACGGGAGGCAGCAGUGAGGAAUAUUGGUCAAUGGGCGAGAGCCUGAACCAGCCAAGUCGCGUGAAGGAUGACUGUCUUAUGGAUUGUAAACUUCUUUUAUACGGGAAUAACAAGAGUCACGUGUGACUCCCUGCAUGUACCGUAUGAAUAAGCAUCGGCUAACUCCGUG
rnacentral:rRNA from 1 species